AACUGCUCCAUAGAGAGGUGGCGCUGAUGCUAAAAUUAAGAGAAGCCCCUGAAUGCCCACCAGUCAUAAAAAUUUAUGACUGGUACGAGGAACGCACCUGGGUCAUGCUUGUCCUCGAGUACCAAAGGGACUGGAAGGACUUGUAUUCCUAUAUCGAUAAAAAGGGAAUGAAGGAAGACAAAGCUCACCACCUUAUGCUUCAAUUAGUAAGAGCAGAUCAACACUGCUUGAAGCAUGAGGUGCUUCACAAUGAUAUCCAUUCUGGAAACAUCAUGGUGGAUGAAAGUGGUUUGCACCUGAAGUUAACAAACUUUAGGUGGGUCGUCUAGUCAAAAGCACUGGCUACACAUCCAAACCACGUGAAGGAGCUAAAUGUUGCAUUCCACCUGAGGCCUUAACGAGGUUGCAAUACUUGGCCAUGCCAGCAACCGUCUGGGCCUUAGGUGUGGUGCUCUAUGAGAUGGUGCACGGAUUUCCACCCUUGCAACGAUUAGGCGUAGUAAGGAUUACGGGACGCAAUUUAACCAUGAUGGUUCUGGAUCUGGCCAGUCCUGCAACAAAAGCCAGCAUCAGUCUGGACCACACCAAACCAAAAGCACUUAAAGCGCCCCUUUGACUGCAUCCGGAGGGGCAAAGUGGAGACAGUGCCGGAUCCACAGCCUCCAGUCAGUUCGAGCAAUCCUUCUUCAAAGGAUUCCUCAGAUCUGGCCAGUCAGUCGAAGGUGGUUAAAGGUGGUCCAGAAGAACCAACAUCAAUUGAAGAUUACCUCCGGAAAAAAAAAAGAUGUGGAGCACCAUGUGAUGCUUCCACACAGGGCAGAUCAGGCACAUCCUGAUGCCACGGAUAAAGCCAGUCUGCCUAUUUCCAAGACUCGUGUGAGUCUUGAAAGAACCGACGUGCAUGUCAGGCAAUCUAAAUAUCCGAUGCCGGAUGUGGCCAAAAAUCCAGCGGCUAAAGUGUCCAA